GAGUUUGAUCGUGGCUCAGGACGAACGCUGGCGGCGUGCCUAAACAUGCAAGUCGAGCGAGACCUUCGGGUCUAGCGGCGAACGGCGGAGUAAGACAUGAACAACGUGCCUCGAAGUCUGGGAUAUACAUCCGAAAGGAUGGGUAAUACCGGAUGUGGAUGAAGAAUCGCAUGAUUUCUCAUCUGAAGGAGCAAUUCGCUUCGGGAGCGGUUCAUGACUCAUCAGCUAGUUGGUGGGGUAAUGGCCUACCAAGGCGACGACGGGUAGGGGUCGUGAGAGGAUGAUCCCCCCGACGUGGGACGUGAGACACGGCCCACCACACCUACGGGUGGCGAGCAGUUGGGAAGUCUUUUGGCAAUGGGGGAAACCCGUGACCAAGCGACGCCGCGUGGAGGAUGAAGGAUCUAGGUCUGUAAACUCCUUUUGUCCAGGAAAGACUUAGGACGGUACCUGGCGAAUAAGCACCGGCUAACUACGUGCCAGCCGCCGCAGUAAC
rnacentral:rRNA from 1 species